rnacentral:rRNA from 1 species
GUCUAUUAGAAUGUAUUUAUAGUCUAGCCUGCUCAGUGAUAAGUAUUAUUAAAUAGCCGCGGUAUCCUGACCGUGCAAAGGUAGCAUAAUCAUUAGUUUCUUAAUUGGGAACUGGUAUGAAUGGUUGGACAAAGAAAAAACUGUCUCUUUUAUUACAAUGGAAUUUAUCUUUUAAGUGAAAAGACUUAAAUAAUUUAGGGGGACGAUAAGACCCUAUAAAGCUUUAUAAAAGUAGUAAGAUCACAUAUUUGAAUAUAAAAGCGAUUAUAUAAUCUUUUAUUUUGUUGGGGCGACAGUAGUAUAAUUGAAAGUAACUGCUAUUAUGAAAACACAUUGAUUUAUGAUUAUUUAUUAAUGGAUCCCUUUUAAGGAUUAUAAAAUCAAGUUACUUUAGGGAUAACAGCGUUAUUUCUUCAGAGAGUACUUAUCAAAGAAGGAGUUUGACCUCGAUGUUGAAUUAAAAUGUCUAUACAGUGCAGCAGCUGUAAAAGAAGGUCUGUUCGACCUUUAAUAUUUU